rnacentral:rRNA from 1 species
GGGUUGUGAGGUUAAGCGACUAAGCGUACACGGUGGAUGCCCUGGCAGUCAGAGGCGAUGAAGGACGUGCUAAUCUGCGAUAAGCGUCGGUAAGGUGAUAUGAACCGUUAUAACCGGCGAUUUCCGAAUGGGGAAACCCAGUGUGAUUCGUCACACUAUCAUUAACUGAAUCCAUAGGUUAAUGAGGCGAACCGGGGGAACUGAAACAUCUAAGUACCCCGAGGAAAAGAAAUCAACCGAGAUUCCCCCAGUAGCGGCGAGCGAACGGGGAGCAGCCCAGAGCCUGAAUCAGUGUGUGUGUUAGUGGAAGCGUCUGGAAAGGCGCGCGAUACAGGGUGACAGCCCCGUACACAAAAAUGCACAUGCUGUGAGCUCGAUGAGUAGGGCGGGACACGUGGUAUCCUGUCUGAAUAUGGGGGGACCAUCCUCCAAGGCUAAAUACUCCUGACUGACCGAUAGUGAACCAGUACCGUGAGGGAAAGGCGAAAAGAACCCCGGCGAGGGGAGUGAAAAAGAACCUGAAACCGUGUACGUACAAGCAGUGGGAGCACGCUUAGGCGUGUGACUGCGUACCUUUUGUAUAAUGGGUCAGCGACUUAUAUUCUGUAGCAAGGUUAACCGAAUAGGGGAGCCGAAGGGAAACCGAGUCUUAACUGGGCGUUAAGUUGCAGGGUAUAGACCCGAAACCCGGUGAUCUAGCCAUGGGCAGGUUGAAGGUUGGGUAACACUAACUGGAGGACCGAACCGACUAAUGUUGAAAAAUUAGCGGAUGACUUGUGGCUGGGGGUGAAAGGCCAAUCAAACCGGGAGAUAGCUGGUUCUCCCCGAAAGCUAUUUAGGUAGCGCCUCGUGAAUUCAUCUCCGGGGGUAGAGCACUGUUUCGGCAAGGGGGUCAUCCCGACUUACCAACCCGAUGCAAACUGCGAAUACCGGAGAAUGUUAUCACGGGAGACACACGGCGGGUGCUAACGUCCGUCGUGAAGAGGGAAACAACCCAGACCGCCAGCUAAGGUCCCAAAGUCAUGGUUAAGUGGGAAACGAUGUGGGAAGGCCCAGACAGCCAGGAUGUUGGCUUAGAAGCAGCCAUCAUUUAAAGAAAGCGUAAUAGCUCACUGGUCGAGUCGGCCUGCGCGGAAGAUGUAACGGGGCUAAACCAUGCACCGAAGCUGCGGCAGCGACGCUGAUGCGUUGUUGGGUAGGGGAGCGUUCUGUAAGCCUGCGAAGGUGUGCUGUGAGGCAUGCUGGAGGUAUCAGAAGUGCGAAUGCUGACAUAAGUAACGAUAAAGCGGGUGAAAAGCCCGCUCGCCGGAAGACCAAGGGUUCCUGUCCAACGUUAAUCGGGGCAGGGUGAGUCGACCCCUAAGGCGAGGCCGAAAGGCGUAGUCGAUGGGAAACAGGUUAAUAUUCCUGUACUUGGUGUUACUGCGAAGGGGGGACGGAGAAGGCUAUGUUGGCCGGGCGACGGUUGUCCCGGUUUAAGCGUGUAGGCUGGUUUUCCAGGCAAAUCCGGAAAAUCAAGGCUGAGGCGUGAUGACGAGGCACUACGGUGCUGAAGCAACAAAUGCCCUGCUUCCAGGAAAAGCCUCUAAGCAUCAGGUAACAUCAAAUCGUACCCCAAACCGACACAGGUGGUCAGGUAGAGAAUACCAAGGCGCUUGAGAGAACUCGGGUGAAGGAACUAGGCAAAAUGGUGCCGUAACUUCGGGAGAAGGCACGCUGAUAUGUAGGUGAAGUCCCUCGCGGAUGGAGCUGAAAUCAGUCGAAGAUACCAGCUGGCUGCAACUGUUUAUUAAAAACACAGCACUGUGCAAACACGAAAGUGGACGUAUACGGUGUGACGCCUGCCCGGUGCCGGAAGGUUAAUUGAUGGGGUUAGCGCAAGCGAAGCUCUUGAUCGAAGCCCCGGUAAACGGCGGCCGUAACUAUAACGGUCCUAAGGUAGCGAAAUUCCUUGUCGGGUAAGUUCCGACCUGCACGAAUGGCGUAAUGAUGGCCAGGCUGUCUCCACCCGAGACUCAGUGAAAUUGAACUCGCUGUGAAGAUGCAGUGUACCCGCGGCAAGACGGAAAGACCCCGUGAACCUUUACUAUAGCUUGACACUGAACAUUGAGCCUUGAUGUGUAGGAUAGGUGGGAGGCUUUGAAGUGUGGACGCCAGUCUGCAUGGAGCCGACCUUGAAAUACCACCCUUUAAUGUUUGAUGUUCUAACGUUGACCCGUGAUCCGGGUUGCGGACAGUGUCUGGUGGGUAGUUUGACUGGGGCGGUCUCCUCCUAAAGAGUAACGGAGGAGCACGAAGGUUGGCUAAUCCUGGUCGGACAUCAGGAGGUUAGUGCAAUGGCAUAAGCCAGCUUGACUGCGAGCGUGACGGCGCGAGCAGGUGCGAAAGCAGGUCAUAGUGAUCCGGUGGUUCUGAAUGGAAGGGCCAUCGCUCAACGGAUAAAAGGUACUCCGGGGAUAACAGGCUGAUACCGCCCAAGAGUUCAUAUCGACGGCGGUGUUUGGCACCUCGAUGUCGGCUCAUCACAUCCUGGGGCUGAAGUAGGUCCCAAGGGUAUGGCUGUUCGCCAUUUAAAGUGGUACGCGAGCUGGGUUUAGAACGUCGUGAGACAGUUCGGUCCCUAUCUGCCGUGGGCGCUGGAGAACUGAGGGGGGCUGCUCCUAGUACGAGAGGACCGGAGUGGACGCAUCACUGGUGUUCGGGUUGUCAUGCCAAUGGCACUGCCCGGUAGCUAAAUGCGGAAGAGAUAAGUGCUGAAAGCAUCUAAGCACGAAACUUGCCCCGAGAUGAGUUCUCCCUGACUCCUUGAGAGUCCUGAAGGAACGUUGAAGACGACGACGUUGAUAGGCCGGGUGUGUAAGCGCAGCGAUGCGUUGAGCUAACCGGUACUAAUGAACCGUGAGGCUUAACCUUACAACGCCGAAGGUGUUU